UAAGAGCACAUGGCGGAUGUCUUGGCGUCAAGAGGCGAUGAAGGACGUGGGAACCUGCGAAAAGUUCAGGGGAGCCGGUAACCAGGCUGUGAUCCUGAAAUGUCCGAAUGGGGAAACCCGGCCGUAAGGUCACUCUUACCUGAAUGCAUAGGGUAAGAGAGCGAACCUGGGGAACUGAAACAUCUAAGUACCCAGAGGAAAGGAAAUCAACCGAGACUCCGUGAGUAGCGGCGAGCGAAAGCGGAUUGCGACUUAAGUCAGUGAACGCGUUGGAAAGCGCGGCCAAAGAAGGUGAUAGCCCUGUAGUUGGAUGAUGUCGCUCAGCCCUAGAGUAGCGUCGGUGUCGUGAAACCCGGCGUGAACAUGGGGGGUCCACCCUCCAAGGCUAAGUACUACUUGACGACCGAUAGUUAACCAGUAAGGCGACUGAAUGAUGAAAACUACCCCUGCUAGGGGUGUGAAAGAGUAGCUGAAACCAUGUGCUUACACAGCGGUCAGAGCCCUUCGGGGUGAUGGCGUGCCUUUUGCAUAAUGACCCGGCGAGUUACUCUCAUUGGCGAGGUUAAGGCCUAGCGGGCCGAAGCCGAAGCGAAAGCGAGUCUGAAAUAGGCGUUGAGUCGAUGGGAGUAGACGCGAAACCUUGUGAUCUACCCAUGGGCAGGCUGAAGGCCGGGUAAAACCGGCUGGAGGGCCGAACGCACCAACGUUGAAAAGUUGGGCGAUGACCUGUGGGGAGGACUAAAAGUGUAAUCAAACUGGGAGAUAGCUCGUUCUCUCCGAAAUAUUUUUAGGAAUAGCCUCUUGCGGCAACUGUUGGGGGUAGAGCCACUGGAUACGGAUGGGGCCCUCGGGUACCCACUGUAACCAAACUCCGAAUACCAACAGCCAAGGCAAGGGAGUCAGCCCACGAGUGACAAUAUCCGUGGACAAAAGGGAAACAUCCCAGACCGCCAGCUAAGGUCCCUGAACAUUGCUUAGUUCUAAAGGAAGUCGAAGCGCAAAGACAGCCAGGAUGUUGGCUUAGAAGCAGCCAUCAUUUAAAGAAAGCGUAACAGCUCACUGGUCAAGCGUUCCUGCGCGGAAAAUGUAACGGGGCUUAAGUGAUACACCGAAGCUGCGGACUCAGAAAUGAGUGGUAGCGGAGCGUUCUGUAAGUCUGUGAAGGUGGCCUGCGAGGGCUGCUGGAGAUAUCAGAAGUGAGAAUGCUGACAUGAGUAGCGAUAAAGAGGGUGAGAGGCCCUCUCGCCGAAAGUCCAAGGGUUCCUGCGCAAUGCUAAUCAGCGCAGGGUAAGCCGGCCCCUAAGGCGAGGCCGAAAGGCGUAGUCGAUGGGAACCAGGUUAAUAUUCCUGGGCCAGCGGGUAGUGACGGAUUGCGGACGUUGUACACUCUUACUGGAUUGAGUGUGCAGCCAAGCCGUCCCUGGAAAUAGCUCCCGCAUGAGACCGUACCCCAAACCGACACAGGUGGUCAGGUAGAGAAUACCAAGGCGCUUGAGAGAACUCGGGUAAAGGAACUAGGCAAAAUGGUGCCGUAACUUCGGGAGAAGGCACGCUGGUGGUAAGUGAUACCCCUGCGGGUGGAGCUGAAGCCAGUCGAAGAUACCAGGCCCCUGCGACUGUUUAUUAAAAACACAGCACUGUGCAAACACGAAAGUGGACGUAUACGGUGUGACGCCUGCCCGGUGCCGGAAGGUUAAUUGAUGGGGUUAGCGCUUGCGCGAAGCUCUUGAUCGAAGCCCCGGUAAACGGCGGCCGUAACUAUAACGGUCCUAAGGUAGCGAAAUUCCUUGUCGGGUAAGUUCCGACCUGCACGAAUGGUGUAACGAUCUGGGCGCUGUCUCAGCGGUGAGCUCGGUGAAAUUGUAGUCUCGGUGAAGAUGCCGAGUACCCGCCACGGGACGGAAAGACCCCGUGCACCUUUACUAUAGGUUGACAUUGACGCUGGACAACACAUGUGUAGCAUAGGUGGGAGACGUUGAGCUAGGGCCGCUAGGUCUUAGGGAGUCGCCGUUGAAAUACCACCCUUGUGUUGUUUGGUGCCUAAUCUCGGGAACGGGAAACAGUGUCUGCUGGGUAGUUUGACUGGGGUGGUCGCCUCCAAAAGCGUAUCGGAGGCUUUCAAAGGUCUGCUCAGUCCGCUUGGUAACCGGAUGUAGAGCGCAAUAGCAGAAGCAGGCUUGACUGUGAGGCCCACAAGCCGAGCAGGGUCGAAAGACGGAUAUAGUGAUCCGGUGGUUCUGUAUGGAAGGGCCAUCGCUCAACGGAUAAAAGGUACUCCGGGGAUAACAGGCUGAUACCGCCCAAGAGUUCACAUCGACGGCGGUGUUUGGCACCUCGAUGUCGGCUCAUCACAUCCUGGGGCUGAAGCCGGUCCCAAGGGUAUGGCUGUUCGCCAUUUAAAGUGGUACGCGAGCUGGGUUUAGAACGUCGUGAGACAGUUCGGUCCCUAUCUGCCGUGG
rnacentral:rRNA from 1 species